UCCGGCUUAUCACCGGCAGUUUCUUUAGAGUGCCCAACUAAAUGGUGGCAACUAAGGACAAGGGUUGCGCUCGUUGCGGGACUUAACCCAACAUGUCACCACACGAACUGACGACAGCCAUGCAGCACCUGUCUCUCUGUCGUAUUGCUACGAAGGCCGUAUCUCUACGGAUGUCAGAGGAUGUCAAACCCAGGUAAGGUUCUUCGCGUUGCUUCGAAUUAAACCACAUGAUCCACCGCUUGUGCGGGCCCCCGUCAAUUCCUUUGAGUUUUAGUCUUGCGACCGUACUUCCCAGGCGGGGUACUUAGUGCGUUAGCGCCGGUUCGGCGGGGGUCAAGACCCACCAAACCUAGUGCCCAUCGUUUACGGCGUGGACUAC
rnacentral:misc_RNA from 1 species